GAUGAACGCUAGCUACAGGCUUAACACAUGCAAGUCGAGGGGUAACAAGAGGAAAGCUUGCUUUCUUUGUUGACGACCGGCGCACGGGUGAGUAACGCGUAUCCAACCUGCCCCCAACUAGGGAAUAACCUUGCGAAAGUAAGACUAAUACCCUAUAAUCUCCUCAGAUGUCAUCUGACGAGGAAUAAAGAUUUAUCGGUUGUGGAUGGGGAUGCGUCUGAUUAGCUUGUUGGCGGGGUAACGGCCCACCAAGGCAACGAUCAGUAGGGGUUCUGAGAGGAAGGUCCCCCACAUUGGAACUGAGACAAGGUCCAAACUCCUACGGGAGGCAGCAGUGAGGAAGAUUGGUCAAUGGGCGGAAGCCUGAACCAGCCAAGUAGCGUGCAGGAUGACGGCCCUAUGGGUUGUAAACUGCUUUUAUACAGGAAUAAAGUUAGCCACAUGUGGUUAUUUGUAGGUACUGUAUGAAUAAGGACCGGCUAAUUCCGUGCCAUCCGCCGCCGUAA
rnacentral:rRNA from 1 species